GAUCUUGUUAUACUUCCCAGGCUGGUCUGAAACUCCUGGACUGAAGUGAUCCUCCUGCCUCAGCCUCCUGAGAAGCUAGGAAUACAGGACUUUUUCUGGAAGGAAAACAAUCUAUUGAGUUGUACCACCUGGCAGGCAGAAUAUGUUUUAGACCUGAUGUGACUUUUUGGAGACCUAGAAUCUGUUGGAACCAAAGGUCACGCUAUGGUGGGGAAACAAAUACCAACAACCAUCACAAUACCGAGUGGUACAUGUUCAUGUACGUGUGUGCAAAGUGCUGUCAAAUCACGAAAGAAUGAACACCUGACACUGCCUAGGGCUGGAUCAGAGGAGGUUUGCCAAGAAAGUAACAGACACAAUUUUUCUUAAAGGAUUUUUGCAGAAGAAAACCCAGGAAAAGAAUGCUAU